rnacentral:rRNA from 1 species
AGGGGUUUGGUAUCAUGGCUCAGAACGAACGCUGGCGGCAGGCCUAACACAUGCAAGUCGAAGGUGAAGCCACCCUCGGGUGGUAGAAACUGGCGCACGGGUGAGUAACGCGUGGGAAUUUGCCUUGGGGUGGGGGAUAACCGCUGGAAACGGCGGCUAAUACCGCAUACGCCCUGCGGGGGAAAGAUUUAUCGCCCUGGGAGAAGCCCGCGUUGGAUUAGCUUGUUGGUGGGGUAAAGGCCCACCAAGGCGACGAUCCAUAGCUGGUCUGAGAGGAUGAUCAGCCACACUGGGACUGAGACACGGCCCAGACUCCUACGGGAGGCAGCAGUGGGGAAUAUUGGACAAUGGGCGAAAACCUGAUCCAGCCAUGCCGCGUGAGUGAAGAAGGCCUUAGGGUUGUAAAGCUCUUUCACCCGUGAAGAUGAUGACGGUAACGGGUAGAAGAAGCCCCGGCUAACUCCGGUGCC